GGGUAUAGCUCAGUGGCAGAGCACGUGCUUAGCAUGCAUGAGGUCCUGGGUUCAACUGCUAGCACCUCCA
rnacentral:tRNA from 1 species